rfam:Ictidomys tridecemlineatus contig044531, whole genome shotgun sequence.
GUGGAUAUGGCUCAGUUGGUAGAGUGCUUGCCUCACAUGCACAAGGCCCUGGGUUCAACCCCCAUGUACACACA